rnacentral:rRNA from 1 species
CAGUCGAACGGAGCUGCUUUGAUGAAGUUUUCGGAUGGAUUUAAAACAGCUUAGUGGUGGACGGGUGAGUAACGCGUGGGUAACCUGCCUCACACUGGGGGAUAACAGUUAGAAAUAGCUGCUAAUACCGCAUAAGCGCACGGUUCCGCAUGGAACAGUGUGAAAAACUCCGGUGGUGUGAGAUGGACCCGCGUCUGAUUAGCCAGUUGGCGGGGUAACGGCCCACCAAAGCGACGAUCAGUAGCCGGCCUGAGAGGGUGAACGGCCACAUUGGGACUGAGACACGGCCCAAACUCCUACGGGAGGCAGCAGUGGGGAAUAUUGCACAAUGGGGGAAACCCUGAUGCAGCGACGCCGCGUGAGUGAAGAAGUAUUUCGGUAUGUAAAGCUCUAUCAGCAGGGAAGAAAGUGACGGUACCUGAAUAAGAAGCCCCGGCUAACUACGUGCCAGCAGCCGCGGUAAUACGUAGGGGGCAAGCGUUAUCCGGAUUUACUGGGUGUAAAGGGAGCGUAGACGGCAAGGCAAGUCUGAAGUGAAAGCCCGGUGCUUAACGCCGGGACUGCUUUGGAAACUGUUUGGCUGGAGUGCCGGAGAGGUAAGCGGAAUUCCUAGUGUAGCGGUGAAAUGCGUAGAUAUUAGGAAGAACACCAGUGGCGAAGGCGGCUUACUGGACGGUAACUGACGUUGAGGCUCGAAAGCGUGGGGAGCAAACAGGAUUAGAUACCCUGGUAGUCCACGCCGUAAACGAUGAUUGCU